rnacentral:antisense_RNA from 1 species
CUUGAUGGAGCCCAGCCACAACGGCCGCUCCACGUCCCGCUGCUGCCCGUAGGUGGCGAGCAGCGCCUGCGCCUC